rnacentral:lncRNA from 1 species
CUACGCUGAACGGAAGAUGGAAGGUGUCUCAGUUACGGCUGCGUGGGCGCUCCGAAGCAGCUUCCGUUGUGGAGGGGACGAGUGUCCGCUCGGAAGAUCGAUCACCUGUGAUUUACCAGUCUUAAAAGGCAAUGCCGACCUCCGCACGCCCCUCCAUGAGCGUCUGGACAUUCUGACAACUUCCACCACCAACCGCCCAGACCUGACUGACAUUCCCUUGCAACACCCAGAUGAGACCUUCUUCACCAAUGGUAACAGUUUUGUGGAAGACAAAAUCAGUCUCUUCAAGCCUUACAGAUUCUUCAGAGUGAGAUCCAGGCUACAAUACAACAGGCUCAAACAAAACCCUUUGUGAUGUUCCAGCCCCAUGGUUUCAAGCCAGAAGACCUGGUCCUGAUAUGCUUGGUUUGUUGCACCAAGGACUUGACUAAAUACAUUCCCAAAUCAGUCUUGGCUACCCAAUCUGCCACUUUAUUUUGUGUCACCAUGUAUGUUGUUCCACAAGUCUUGUAUUAUAAUGAAGAAGGGGACCGUGAACAUCUGGGAUUAACCACUGAACACUAUAGGAGUAAACGGGCUGCCUCCAUUUAGUGCCCAUCUAGUGGGAUUAGGAAUAGGCAGGUCAGUGGCUAUUGGAACUUCCUCCCUGAUCCUUCAGGACACAAAUUUUAAAGCCCUAAGCCGCCAAGUAGCCAGAGAUUUGGGUCACCUGGAAGACUCAAUCUCCAGAUUAAAAAACCAGGUUGAUUCCCUAGCUGAGAUGGUCCUGCAAAAUCAAAGGGGACUUGACCUCCUGUUCAUAAAACAAGGAGGGUUAUGUGUAGCUCUAGGAGAAACCUGUUGCUUCUAUGCUAAUCGGUCUGGUGUCAUUAGAGAUACCUUAGCUAUGGUCAGG